GGAUUUAGUAAUUAUCAAUAUUCACUAAAAAUAUUUAGAUGAGGUACUAAGAAUGGGAUUUCUAGAUUAAUAUUUUGAGUUUCAUAUGGAAAAGCAUGCGAUUACUAGAUAAAAUAAGAUAAUAAAUGAACUUAACAAAAUGUUAGUAUGCAUUUCAUGCUGAGUCUUAAUUGGUCGUGCAUUUUGAAUGUAAAACCCAAGUUUGAAUUUGAAAUAUAAA
rnacentral:lncRNA from 7 species